rnacentral:rRNA from 1 species
AUUGAACGCUGGCGGCAUGCUUUACACAUGCAAGUCGAACGGUAACAGGCCGCAAGGUGCUGACGAGUGGCGAACGGGUGAGUAAUGCAUCGGAACGUGCCCAGUCGUGGGGGAUAACGCAGCGAAAGCUGUGCUAAUACCGCAUACGAUCUAUGGAUGAAAGCGGGGGACCGUAAGGCCUCGCGCGAUUGGAGCGGCCGAUGUCAGAUUAGGUAGUUGGUGGGGUAAAGGCCCACCAAGCCAACGAUCUGUAGCUGGUCUGAGAGGGCGACCAGCCACACUGGGACUGGGACACGGCCCAGACUCCUACGGGAGGCAGCAGUGGGGAAUUUUGGACAAUGGGCGCAAGCCUGAUCCAGCCAUGCCGCGUGAGUGAAGAAGGCCUUCGGGUUGUAAAGCUCUUUCGGCCGGGAAGAAAUCGCCAUCUCUAAUAUAGGUGGUGGAUGACGGUACCGGAAUAAGAAGCACCGGCUAACUACGUGCCAGCAGCCGCAGUAACAC